rnacentral:tRNA from 2 species
GCGUGGAUGGUUUAGUGGUAUAAUUGCCGCCUGCCACGCGGCAGACCCGGGUUCGAUUCCCGGUCCACGCA